rnacentral:rRNA from 1 species
UACGGAGGAUCCGAGCGUUAUCCGGAUUUAUUGGGUUUAAAGGGAGCGUAGGUGGAUUGUUAAGUCAGUUGUGAAAGUUUGCGGCUCAACCGUAAAAUUGCAGUUGAAACUGGCAGUCUUGAGUACAGUAGAGGUGGGCGGAAUUCGUGGUGUAGCGGUGAAAUGCUUAGAUAUCACGAAGAACUCCGAUUGCGAAGGCAGCUCACUGGACUGCAACUGACACUGAGGCUCGAAAGUGUGGGUCUCAAACAGG